rnacentral:rRNA from 1 species
UGGGGAAUAUUGCACAAUGGGCGAAAGCCUGAUGCAGCGACGCCGCGUGCGGGAUGAAGGCCUUCGGGUUGUAAACCGCUUUUAAUUGGGAGCAAGCGAGAGUGAGUGUACCUUUUGAAUAAGCACCGGCUAACUACGUGCCAGCAGCCGCGGUAAUACGUAGGGUGCAAGCGUUAUCCGGAAUUAUUGGGCGUAAAGAGCUCGUAGGCGGUUUGUCACGCCUGGUGUGAAAGUCCAUCGCUUAACGGUGGAUCUGCGCCGGGUACGGGCAGGCUAGAGUGCAGUAGGGGAGAUUGGAAUUCCCGGUGUAACGGUGGAAUGUGUAGAUAUCGGGAAGAACACCAAUGGCGAAGGCAGAUCUCUGGGCUGUUACUGACGCUGAGGAGCGAAAGCAUGGGGAGCGAACAGGAUUAGAUACCCUGGUAGUCCAUGCCGUAAAACGGUGGAUGCUGGGUGUGGGACCCUUCCAC